rnacentral:rRNA from 1 species
GUGGGGAAUUUUGGACAAUGGGCGAAAGCCUGAUCCAGCCAUGCCGCGUGCAGGAUGAAGGCCUUCGGGUUGUAAACUGCUUUUGUACGGAACGAAAAGACUCCUUCUAAUAAAGGGGGUCCAUGACGGUACCGUAAGAAUAAGCACAGGCUAACUACGUGCCAGCAGCCGCGGUAAUACGUAGGGUGCAAGCGUUAAUCGGAAUUACUGGGCGUAAAGCGUGCGCAGGCGGUUAUAUAAGACAGAUGUGAAAUCCCCGGGCUCAACCUGGGAACUGCAUUUGUGACUGUAUAGCUAGAGUACGGUAGAGGGGGAUGGAAUUCCGCGUGUAGCAGUGAAAUGCGUAGAUAUGCGGAGGAACACCGAUGGCGAAGGCAAUCCCCUGGACCUGUACUGACGCUCAUGCACGAAAGCGUGGGGAGCAAACAGGAUUAGAAACCCCAGUAGUCC